UUGGAGGGCAAGUCUGGUGCCAGCAGCCGCGGUAAUUCCAGCUCCAAUAGCGUAUAUUAAAGUUGUUGCAGUUAAAAAGCUCGUAGUUGAACUUCGAGGUUUACCCAUUGGACAGGCUUAAUUGUCUGCACUGGUGAGAUGAAUCUCUACCUUCUGAGGAACUUUCAUGCCAUUUAUUUGGUGUGAUUGGAAAUCAGGACUGUUACUUUGAAAAAAUUAGAGUGUUUAAAGCAGGC
rnacentral:rRNA from 1 species